GAUGAACGCUGGCGGCGUGCCUAAUACAUGCGAGUCGAGCGAACAGACGAGGAGCUUGCUCCUCUGACGUUAGCGGCGGACGGGUGAGUAACACGUGGAUAACCUACCUAUAAGACUGGGAUAACUUCGGGAAACCGGAGCUAAUACCGGAUAAUAUAUUGAACCGCAUGGUUCAAUAGUGAAAGACGGUUUUGCUGUCACUUAUAGAUGGAUCCGCGCCGCAUUAGCUAGUUGGUAAAGUAACGGCUUACCAAGGCAACGAUGCGUAGCCGACCUGAGAGGGUGAUCGGCCACACUGGAACUGAGACACGGUCCAGACUCCUACGGGAGGCAGCAGUAGGGAAUCUUCCGCAAUGGGCGAAAGCCUGACGGAGCAACGCCGCGUGAGUGAUGAAGGUCUUCGGAUCGUAAAACCCUGUUAUUAGGGAAGAACAAAUGUGUAAGUAACUAUGCACGUCUUGACGGUACCUAAUCAGAAAGCCACGGCUAACUACGUG
rnacentral:rRNA from 1 species